rnacentral:rRNA from 1 species
GAUGAACGCUGGCGGCGUGCCUAAUACAUGCAAGUCGAGCGAACAGACGAGGAGCUUGCUCCUCUGACGUUAGCGGCGGACGGGUGAGUAACACGUGGAUAACCUACCUAUAAGACUGGGAUAACUUCGGGAAACCGGAGCUAAUACCGGAUAACAUGUUGAACCGCAUGGUUCAACAGUGAAAGACGGUCUUGCUGUCACUUAUAGAUGGAUCCGCGCCGCAUUAGCUAGUUGGUAAGGUAACGGCUUACCAAGGCAACGAUGCGUAGCCGACCUGAGAGGGUGAUCGGCCACACUGGAACUGAGACACGGUCCAGACUCCUACGGGAGGCAGCAGUAGGGAAUCUUCCGCAAUGGGCGAAAGCCUGCCGGAGCAACGCCGCGUGAGUGAAGAAGGUCUUCGGAUCGUAAAACUCUGUUAUUAGGGAAGAACAAAUGUGUAAGUAACUAUGCACGUCUUGACGGUACCUAAUCAGAAAGCCACGGCUAACUACGUG